rnacentral:rRNA from 1 species
CCUACGGGAGGCAGCAGUGAGGAAUAUUGGUCAAUGGGCUUACGCCUGAACCAGCCAAGUCGCGUGAGGGAAGACUGCCCUAUGGGUUGUAAACCUCUUUUGUCAGGGAGCAACGCCGGCUACGUGUAGCCGGACUGAGAGUACCUGAAGAAAAAGCAUCGGCUAACUCCGUGCCAGCAGCCGCGGUAAUACGGAGGAUGCGAGCGUUAUCCGGUUUUAUUGGGUUUAAAGGGUGCGUAGGUGGAUUGUGAAGUCAGUGGUAAAAUUUUGCGGCUCAACCGUAAAAUUCAAUUUAAAAUGGAGAGCUAGAGAACAGACGAGGUAGGCGGAAUAAGUGAAGUAGCGGGGAAAUGCAUAGAUAUAACGUAGAACACCGAGUGCGAGGGCAGCUUACCAGACUGAGUCUGACGCUGAUGCACGAGAGUAUGGGUAGCGAACAGGAUUAGAUACCCCAGUAGUC